GCUUCGGUAGUCUAGUGGGUAAAGCGUUCGCCUCGGAUACGGAAGGUCGCGGGUUCGAACCCCAGCUGAGUCA